rnacentral:lncRNA from 1 species
GUAAACAGAAAAAAAAUCAGUCAAAAAUUGCUAAUAUAUGCAUAUAAAAAUUAUUAUUGAAUAGAAAACACUCUAAAGCUUCUAAAACCGUUUAAAUUAUGUCUCUAUGUAAAGCAGAACUCUCAGGGCACUCAUUCUCCCAAACUCUCUCUUGUCAUCAUAAAAGUUGGCCCAACUUUGACGUCAUCGCCCCCACCCUUCCCAAGCACCUACAGUCCUGGGAACAGUUUCUAUGUCUUCAGCGCGAUGUCUGCUUUCAAUGGGGCUUCUCAUUGUGAGAAUCGCCGCUCACAAGAGUUUUGGCGGGCCGAAACCUUUCGGUCAGCGAGAAAACAGGUUACUCUCAUGCGCGUUCUGCUCCGGUGAUGUCUUUCUUCCAAGAUUGAUUAAACGACUCGUGUGUUUCUGAUCGUCCUGAGAAUUGCUGUGAAGCUAUAUAACAUGCUAAUGCUGUGUUCUGAACAUAGUUUGACAAGUUUAGUCGACAUAUAAUAUGUAAUUUCGACGUUUUGGUGCGCAUCCACUCGACUUUUUGGCCGCAUUUCAACCGGAAUAUGUCGUGUUUGAUCACCGAAAGACACAGACUUCCAAACUAAAGCUGUUUUUGGGAGAAACAGCUGGUGUGCAUGGAUCGACGUGUGACCUUUUAUACCAACGAGGAAAAAAGAGCAGCGAAAGCUAAAGUAAUAAGGAGGAAAAUGCAUGGCUUCCACCUCCCCUUGAAUCCUGGAAACAUAUGGGAAACAAACCCAACGUUCCAGUCAGGUCCACCUGAGAACCAUGGGUCAAAGUGGAAGACGAGGACGAGGAGAAUGAAUACUGAUACAGGAGAUGUACAGAUUACAGCUAAGUCCCCUCAUGUUCCCUGA